rnacentral:rRNA from 1 species
UAUGGGUUGUAAACUGCUUUUGCAGGGGAAGAAUAAGGACUACGCGUAGUUUGAUGACGGUACUCUGCGAAUAAGCAUCGGCUAACUCCGUGCCAGCAGCCGCGGUAAUACGGAGGAUGCGAGCGUUAUCCGGAAUCAUUGGGUUUAAAGGGUCCGUAGGCGGGCUAAUAAGUCAGAGGUGAAAGCGCUCAGCUCAACUGAGCAACUGCCUUUGAAACUGUUAGUCUUGAAUGGUUGUGAAGUAGUUGGAAUGUGUAGUGUAGCGGUGAAAUGCUUAGAUAUUACACAGAACACCGAUAGCGAAGGCAUAUUACUAACAAUUAAUUGACGCUGAUGGACGAAAGCGUGGGGAGCGAACAGGAUUAGAUACCCUGGUAGUCCACGCUGUAAACGAUGG